rnacentral:rRNA from 1 species
UACGAAGGGGGCUAGCGUUGUUCGGAAUUACUGGGCGUAAAGCGCACGUAGGCGGAUAUUUAAGUCAGGGGUGAAAUCCCGGGGCUCAACCCCGGAACUGCCUUUGAUACUGGGUAUCUAGAGUAUGGUAGAGGUGAGUGGAAUUCCGAGUGCAGAGGUGAAAUUCGUAGAUAUUCGGAGGAACACCAGUGGCGAAGGCGGCUCACUGGACCAUUACUGACGCUGAGGUGCGAAAGCGUGGGGAGCAAACAGG